UACGGAGGGUGCAAGCGUUAUCCGGAUUCACUGGGUUUAAAGGGUGCGUAGGCGGGUAAGUAAGUCCGUGGUGAAAUCUCUGAGCUUAACUCAGAAACUGCCGUGGAUACUAUUUGCCUUGAAUAUUGUGGAGGUGAGCGGAAUAUGUCAUGUAGCGGUGAAAAUGCUUAGAUAUGACAUAGAACACCAAUUGCGAAGGCAGCUCACUACACAAUCAUUGACGCUGAGGCACGAAAGCGUGGGGAUCAAACAGG
rnacentral:rRNA from 1 species